rnacentral:rRNA from 1 species
GCUAGUAAGAUGACGAGUGGCGGACGGGUGAGUAAUGCUUGGGAACUUGCCUUUGCGAGGGGGAUAACAGUUGGAAACGACUGCUAAUACCGCAUAAUGUCUUCGGACCAAACGGGGCUUCGGCUCCGGCGCAAAGAGAGGCCCAAGUGAGAUUAGCUAGUUGGUAAGGUAACGGCUUACCAAGGCGACGAUCUCUAGCUGUUCUGAGAGGAAGAUCAGCCACACUGGGACUGAGACACGGCCCAGACUCCUACGGGAGGCAGCAGUGGGGAAUAUUGCACAAUGGGGGAAACCCUGAUGCAGCCAUGCCGCGUGUGUGAAGAAGGCCUUCGGGUUGUAAAGCACUUUCAGUUGUGAGGAAAAGUUAGUAGUUAAUACCUGCUAGCCGUGACGUUAACAACAGAAGAAGCACCGGCUAACUCCGUGCCAGCAGCCGCGGUAAUACGGAGGGUGCGAGCGUUAAUCGGAAUUACUGGGCGUAAAGCGCACGCAGGCGGUUUGUUAAGCUAGAUGUGAAAGCCCCGGGCUCAACCUGGGAUGGUCAUUUAGAACUGGCAGACUAGAGUCUUGGAGAGGGGAGUGGAAUUCCAGGUGUAGCG